AGCCUGAACGCUGGCGGCGUGGCUAAGACAUGCAAGUCGUACGGUGCAGCAAUGCACAGUGGCGAACGGGUGAGUAAUGAAUCGCUAAUGUACCCCGGACUCUGAGAUAGCUGCCCGAAAGGGCAGGUAAUAUCAGAUAACGUAAUCCUGCCGCAUGACAGGGUUCCCAAAGGUCCGCCGGUCUGGGAGCAGGCGAUUUUGUAUCAGCUAGUUGGUAGGGUAACGGCCUACCAAGGCGAUGACGCAUAGCCGGACUGAGAGGUUGGCCGGCCACAUUGGGACUGAGACACUGCCCAGACUCCUACGGGGGGCUGCAGUAACGAAUCUUCCGCAAUGCACGAAAGUGUGACGGAGCGACGCCGCGUGUGGGACGAAGCCCUUCGGGGUGUAAACCACUGUCAGGGGAUAGAAAGUUCUGAUCAUCCCCAGAGGAAGGCACGGCUAACUCUGUGCCAGCAGCCGCGGU
rnacentral:rRNA from 1 species